rnacentral:rRNA from 1 species
GCGAACGGGUGAGUAACGCGUUGGUGACCUGCCCCAAAGUGUGGGAUAACAGUUCGAAAGGAUUGCUAAUACCGCAUGUGGUCAUUGGAUCUAGAAACCGAUGACUAAAGCAGUGAUGCGCUUUGGGAGGGGCCUGCGUCCCAUCAGCUAGUUGGUAGGGUAAUGGCCUACCAAGGCGACGACGGGUAGGGGACCUGAGAGGGUGGCCCCCCACAAUGGAACUGAAACACGGUCCAUACACCUACGGGUGGCAGCAGUAGGGAAUAUUGCUCAAUGGGCGAAAGCCUGAAGCAGCAACGCCGCGUGCGCGAUGAAGGUCUUCGGAUCGUAAAGCACUUUUCUGAGAGAUGAGAAAGGACAGUAUCUCAGGAAUAAGUCUCGGCUAACUACGUGCCAGCAGCCGCGGUAACACGUAGGAGGCGAGCGUUAUCCGGAUUCACUGGGCGUAAAGCGCGUGCAGGCGGUUUGGUAAGUUGGGCGUGAAAGCUCCCGGCUCAACUGGGAGAGGUCGUUCAAUACUACCAGACUAGAGAGCAGAAGAGGAAGAUGGAAUUCCCGGUGUAGUGGUGAAAUGCGUAGAUAUCGGGAGGAACACCAGUGGCGAAGGCGAUCUUCUGGUCUGUUUCUGACGCUCAGACGCGACAGCUAGGGUAGUAAACGGGAUUAGAGACCCCGGUAAUCCUAGCCGUAAACGAUGUGAACUUGGCGUUGGUGGCUUAAACACCAUCAGUGCCGAAGCAAACGCGAUAAGUUCACCGCCUGGGGACUACGGCCGCAAGAUA